rnacentral:lncRNA from 1 species
CUCUAUGUUCCUACCCUACCUGCUGUGGUAUUAUCAGCAUUAGCAUUGUUCUGACUUUCCUGACUACCACCAUGACCAACUCAUACGGUCAUUAGUGCUUCACUGCAGUGAUCCUUUUCCAUUAAAAGCUACUAUAAUAAGUUGUAUCCAUCAAUAUGGCUAUUCUGUAUUUGUUUAAGAGUUCGAAAUACAGACGAUGGUGUACUCAACUAUUAUGGCUCUUCUGUACUUGCAGACAUGAAGAGUCCCAGUUCAACAAGAUCCUCUCUAGUAAAGUGACUUUACUGUGUAAAAGACUCACUCCAACAGAAUGAUCAAGCAUUUCUAAUGGUGUCUCUUGGCUUUUACUCAAAAGCAUAGUGCAAAUUGUAAGAUCAUUCCUCCAUUUACCAUGAAGGCCAGCUUUCAGCUGAUCAGUGUCGCUUCCACAAGUCAUAACUGCCCCUUUUACAACCUAGACAUAAAGAUGUAUGUGACACGGUGAUUUUCUUUAGGUUUAUAUUUUGCUGGCACACUCAAUAUGCUCCUCAUGCUAGUUAGAGAAAUUACGAAAGGUUUUAACAACAAAUUUUAUGUUAGGUAAAUUUAACAAUCAUACCAUGUUGGUUUGCACAACUUCUAAAAUAUGUACACUUAACAUGAUUAAAAUUUUCCAUUUGCCCAAUAAAAUAAAGUUAAUCAAGGUCCACCUGUAUCACUGAUUUGGCAUAAGAAUCCACUGCCCUUUACUGUGUUAGGAUCUUGAGGUUGCCUAUUGUUCAGUUGCCUACAUCUUUCUUUUGUAAAAGUACAUUGCUGAUGUGUUAUGAAGAGCCCACUGGCUUGAUGCCAAAACCAUUUUUACCAGUCGCUAAGCUUUGUUUAAAGAAACAUGAGAUGGUAAAGCUUUUUCAAAUCCUAUCAACUACCAUUAGCUUUCUAGGAGUUUGGUUAGUCCAUCCAUCUUUGAAAAUUACUUUGUCAUGAGUAU